ACAAAUGAAUUAAGGUAUAAUAAUAAUAAUAAUAAUAAUAAUAAUAAUAAUAAUAAUAAUAAUAAUAAUAAUACUAAUAAUAAUGAUGAUAAAAUACUUAAUAGUUGAGAAUUGCUAUGGGUGUAUGUCCCUACGAAGAAAAAAAAAAUAUCAUAUGAUGAACUAUUAUAAUACUUUCUAAGAACUAUUAUAACACUUUCUGAACACAUUUGUAUUAGAAUUUGUAGAACCGACAAACGAAUAAAAAAAAACAAAAUAAUAAAGUUAAAUAAGGUAUACAAUAACUAAAUAAGGGAAUGGCUUAAGAAAAUUAUAGUUUAGAUUAUCAUCAUCGAUCCUUUCCAAUUUACCAAACAAAUUUUCACCGACCUUCUUCUUCUCAAAACUUGACUGGCUUAUAUUGCGGGAUUUCGUAUUCCUUUCACACGGUGGAUUAUCCCUAUUAAUCGAUCUCAUUCGGUGGUAUCAUUCCUUACUCAACGCUUCCAAAAGCCAACCCACAUCUCCCUUAAACCUUUCUUUUAAUUUUCAAGUGCGCAGACGAAAACGUCGCUGCCGACCACCAGUCUGAACCGACCAAACCUGCUUGUUACGCCUGCGGUUCGUGUGUUGAACGGUACAAAAGACCGCUGAGCACCACUACCACGUUGAUCGGUCGUUCGUUCGUUGUACACUCGGAAGCGCAAUAUCUUCGAUCCAUCACCAUACCAUCGACUAGUGGUGAUCUAAAGAUCUGUGGCGAACCUACAUUGCACCACGCCGGUCGUCUUUUCUCUUCGACAUAAGGACUCUGUUUCAAGUGAGAACUUGUUGCGUCUACAUUGUUACAUUUAAGCUAAGGUACUCAGGGAAAUCGGGGAAAUGUGUGAAGAGUGAUAAUAAAAAGCUAGAGUUGGAACAAGGAGUUUAAUAAAACCUUAUAUUCAAUAAAUUUAGACACUUAUGUUUUUCUGUUGAGACCGUUAUGCCA